AUGCAAACUAGAUCACUGGCUGUGCAUAUUGUUGCAGCAGCAAGGGGAACACGUUUGCUAAAUUAACCAGCUGUGGGAAAAUCUUGGCCUUUAAGACUGAUGUCUUUUUGGCAUUAUGACCCAUUGCACAACACUU
rfam:Xenopus laevis strain J chromosome 1S, whole genome shotgun sequence.